rnacentral:rRNA from 1 species
UCCUACGGGGGGCAGCAGUGGGGAAUAUUGCACAAUGGGGGAAACCCUGAUGCAGCGACGCCGCGUGAGUGAAGAAGUAUUUCGGUACGUAAAGCUCUAUCAGCAGGGAAGAAAAAAAGUCCUUUGGACUUUGGACGUUACCUGACCAAGAAGCCCCGGCUAACUACGUGCCAGCAGCCGCGGUAAUACGUAGGGGGCAAGCGUUAUCCGGAUUUACUGGGUGUAAAGGGAGCGUAGACGGCAGCGCAAGUCUGGAGUGAAAUGCCGGGGCCCAACCCCGGA